CAUCUUCAUUCCUAUGUGUAGCGAGAGAAAGCUGUCCUCGUCCAAGCUUUUCUCCAGUCUCGGCCACAUAUAACUAAAAAGGUUAAAAGUUCACACUAACUUAACUAACAAGGAAUAAUUGCUUCAGUUACAGUAGAGUCAAUCACUGUAGAAUUCUCAGGACAUGCCAUUUUUAGAAGCCGUGAUUUGUUUUUCAAGCCAUUACCAGCACAAAAAGUACUAUUAGAAGGAGAAUCUUAUUAUCGUUUGCCACUCAACAAAGAUCAAUAUAGUAGCAGUAAUAUUAUUUAAAUGGAUAACAAGAUUUGCAUCAAAUCUGUAAAGAACCUUCACAAUAUCCCUCCACAAAAUGAAGUUAGUUUGUACUAUGAAGAAAAAGAAAAAGAAAUGAAGCUGCUGUUGUUGACCCUUCUCCAUUCAACGCAGUACAUAUUUUGAGGCCUCAAAAUGAAAUUACAACUCUCCAGAGAGUUUUUGUUUAAACAUGGAGAAGCAGUACAUAUUUUGAGGCCUCAAAACGAAAUUACAACUCUCCAGAGAGUUUUUGUUUAAACAUGGAGAAAUUAUAAUUAAAUACGAGAUUAGAGAGAUCCAAUCUUAAACGGAGAAUUAUCAAUGUGUGUCAGGCAUAAAAUCACCAUCAAGUUGGGAUUAAGAAAUUGCAACUUCCUAAUUAUUUCAUUAGUGACUAUUUAAUCACUUAUUAGAUACAAUAAACUAUAGUGGCGUAUACAUAAUUAUACACUACUACCAAGUUUCUGGACCAUCCUUCCCUCCUUUUGUUGGUCUUUGAAUUUGUAUUCAUUCAUCCAUGUUUCUGUAUAAGUGAAGUUUCU
rnacentral:lncRNA from 1 species